rnacentral:piRNA from 1 species
UCCUUCUUCCUAAAGCAUCAUCAGGACUGC